UUGGAGUUUGUUUUGAUUUUGAGAAUGAUUAGACAGGACAAACUAUCCAACUUAAAGGAUACCACUGGGUUUGUUUUCGGAAGAGUAGAGUAAUUGGGAGAAACAUUGGCCUUAGUAGGAUUACUUAUAAUAGUAGUUUUCUUAUCGCCAUUAAAUGGCCUCUGGCGAAGCACUAUAUUUGUGGAAAUAUAAGUUGU